GGGCCGGUAGUUCAGUGGUAUGAGCAGCUGCUAAGCUGGUGCAUACGCCCGCCUCGCACGCGGGAGGUCGGGGGUUCAAAUCCCCCCCGGUCCA
rnacentral:tRNA from 1 species